CAGUAGCCGCGGUAAUACGUAGGGUGCGAGCGUUAAUCGGAAUUACUGGGCGUAAAGCGUGCGCAGGCGGUUGUGUAAGACAGGUGUGAAAUCCCCGGGCUUAACCUGGGAACUGCGCUUGUGACUGCACAGCUAGAGUAUGGCAGAGGGGGGUGGAAUUCCACGUGUAGCAGUGAAAUGCGUAGAAAUGUGGAGGAACACCGAUGGCGAAGGCAGCCCCCUGGGCCAAUACUGACGCUCAUGCACGAAAGCGUGGGGAGCAAACAGGAUUAGAUACCCCCGUAGUCCCUGUCUCUUAUAC
rnacentral:rRNA from 1 species